GGAACAGUAGCUCAGAGGUAGAGCAGCGGACUGCAGUUCCGAAGGUCGCUGGUUCAAUUCCGGCCUGUUCCU